GACUAUUAUAGAAGGUAAAUCCUGCCCAGUGACCUAGGUUCAACGGCCGCGGAAUAACUCCCGUGCUAAGGUAGCAUAUAAUAUACUCUUUAAUUAAGGGAUAGAAUGAAAGGACAAACGAAAGCACCACUGUCUCUCAAAUAUCAACUUUAAAUUAUCCUUUAGGUGAAAAGACCUAAAUUAAUCUAAAAGACAAAAAGACCCUGUAGAGCUUUAUUCUUAAUUCUCUAAACUAAAUACGCCUAUAUUAAGUUAGUAGUAAAUUAAAAAUUUGGCUGGGGCGGCAAAAGAGCACACAACCCUCUUUUAUAUAUUAGGACCAUCCUCCUUACAACAAAGAUCCUUUAAUGAUUUUCAAAAAUAGCUACCUCAGGGAUAACAGACUAAUUCCUUCUAAGAGCACCUAUUGAAGAAGGAGAUUGGCACCUCGAUGUUGGCUUAGAGUAUCCUAAAGGGUUGCAUACGCCUUUAAGGUAGGUU
rnacentral:rRNA from 1 species